rnacentral:tRNA from 1 species
UCGAAAUCGGGUGACGCUACGGACUUAAAUAAUUUGAGCGAAAAUCCGUUGGCUUUAUUGACCGUGAGGGUUCAAGUCCC